GACGAACGCUGGCGGCGUGCCUAAUACAUGCAAGUCGAGCGACGAGGCUUGGCGCUUGCGCCAAUUUGAAGAGCCGCAAACGGGUGAGUCACGCGUGGAGCAUCUGCUUUUGAGCGGGGUACAACCUGUGGACACGAAUGCUAAUACCGCAUAACAACUUUAAACAUAAUGUUUAAGUUUGAAAGAUGCAAUUGCAUCACUCAAACAUGAUCCCGCGUUGUAUUAGCUAGUUGGUGAGGUAAAGGCUCACCAAGGCGGUGAUACAUAGCCGACCUGAGAGGGUGGUCAGCCAGCUUGAGACGGAGACACGCCCCAUACUCCUACGGGAGGCGGCAGUAGUGAAACGGGAGCAAUGGGCGAAAGUCUUACCGAGCUGCGCGGCGUCAGUGAAGAGCGUCUCCGGGUCGUAGAUCACUGUUGGUAGGGAAGAACGCUGGUGAGAGUGGAAAGCACAGCAAGUGACGGUAACUACUCAGAAAGCGACGGCUAACUACGUG
rnacentral:rRNA from 1 species